UUUUCCGGUUGAUCCUGCCGGACCCUACUGCUAUCGGGAUAGGAUUUAGACAUGCAUGUUGUGCGUCUUCUAGCUAUGAGGAAGACGCAGCAGACGGCUCAGUAACAUGUGGCUAACCUGCCCUUAGGACAAAGACAACCCCGGGAAACUGGGGGUAAUCCUUGAUAGGCGUGAACUCAUGGAAUUGGUUCACACCCAAAGGACUUCGAGAUCAUGCUAUCGAUGUCGCCUAAGGAUGGGGCCGCAGCCGAUCAGGUUGUUGGUGAGGUAAUGGCUCACCAAGCCUAUAACCGGUACGGGCCGUGAAAGCGGUAGCCCGGAGAUGGACACUGAGACAAGGGUCCAGGCCCUACGGGGCGCAGCAGUCGCGAAAACUUUGCAAUGCACGAAAGUGUGACAAGGCUAUCCCGAGUGCCGUCCGCUGAGGAUGGCUUUUCUUCAGUGUAAGGAGCUGAAGGAAUAAGGAGAGGGCAAGUCUGGUGUCAGCCGCCGCGGUAAUACCAGCUCUCCGAGUGGUAGGGAUGCUUAUUGGGCUUAAAGCGUCCGUAGCCGGCUCAGCAAGUCCUCUGUUAAAUCCAGCGAUUUAAUCGUUGGACUGCGGGGGAUACUGUCAGGCUUGGGAGCGGGAGAGGCCGACGGUAUUCCUGGGGUAGGAGUGAAAUCCUGUAAUCCCGGGAGGACCACCAGUGGCGAAGGCUGUCGGCUAGAACGCGUCCGACGGUGAGGGACGAAAGCUGGGGGAGCGAACCGGAUUAGAUACCCGGGUAGUCCCAGCUGUAAACUAUGCGGGCUAGGUGUCAGUGUGGCUACGAGCCACUCUGGUGCCGCAGGGAAACUCAUAAGCCCGCCGCCUGGGAAGUACGGUCGCAAGGCUGAAACUUAAAGGAAUUGGCGGGGGAGCACCACCAGGGGUGAAGCUUGCGGUUCAAUUGGAGUCAACGCCGGGAAUCACUAGU
rnacentral:rRNA from 1 species